UACGGAAGGCAGCAGGUGGGGAAUAUUGCACAAUGGGCGCAAGCCUGAUGCAGCCAUGCCGCGUGUAUGAAGAAGGCCUUCGGGUUGUUAAAGUACUUUCAGUCGUGAGGAAGGUGUUAAGGUUAAUAACCUUAGCAAUUGACGUUAGCGACAGAAGAAGCACCGGCUAACUCCGUGCCAGCAGCCGCGGUAAUACGGAGGGUGCGAGCGUUAAUCGGAAUUACUGGGCGUAAAGGGCACGCAGGCGGUUAAUUAAGUUGGAUGUGAAAAUCCCCGGGCUUAACCUGGGAAUGGCAUUCAAGACUGGUUAGCUAGAGUCUUGUAGAGGGGGUAGAAUUCCAUGUGUAGCGGUGAAAUGCGUAGAGAUGUGGAGGAAAUACCGGUGGCGAAGGCGGCCCCUGGACAAAAGGGACUGGACGCUCAUGUGCGAAAGCGUGGGGAGCAAAC
rnacentral:rRNA from 1 species